AACGAACGCUGGCGGCAUGCCUAACACAUGCAAGUCGAACGAGGCCUUCGGGUCUAGUGGCGCCCGGGUGCGUAACGCGUGGGAACCUGCCCUUAGGUUCGGAAUAACUCCCCGAAAGGGGUGCUAAUAACGGAUAAUGUCUUCGGACAAAAGCUUUAUCGCCUUUGGAUGGGCCCGCGUUGGAUUAGCUAGUUGGUAGGGUAAAAGCCUACCAAGGCGACGAUCCAUAGCUGGUCUGAGAGGAUGAUCAGCCACACUGGGACUGAGACACGGCCCAGACUCCUACGGGAGGCAGCAGUGGGGAAUAUUGGACAAUGGGCGAAAGCCUGAUCCAGCAAUGCCGCGUGAGUGAUGAAGGCCUUAGGGUUGUAAAGCUCUUUUACCCGGGAUGAUAAUGACAGUACCGGGAGAAUAAGCUCCGGCUAACUCCGUG
rnacentral:rRNA from 1 species